AGUCGGGCAUGACAAGGAGGAACAAAAUGGAGUCGUUCUUCGCCAAGUCUGUUAAGAUUGCGUCUGUUGUGGCUGCCUACUGGGUUAUUUCUAUUUCUAUGGUAUUUCUCAACAAGUAUCUAUUGAGCAGUGAAGAUUUAAAGCUGAACGCCCCCUUGUUCAUCACCUGGUUCCAGUGUGUGGUCACGGUUGGCUUGUGCUGCAUCCUGAGUGCUCUGUCCAAGGCUUUCCCCAACCAGAUCUCAUUUCCUUCAAUAGUGAUUGACACACAGAUCUUAAAAGGGGUGCUCCCUCUGUCCAUAGUGUUUGCGUGCAUGAUCUCGUUCAACAACCUUUGUCUGAAGUAUGUAGGAGUGGCAUUUUACUACAUAGGGCGGUCCCUGACAACUGUCUUCAAUGUGGUUUGUGUUCUCCUACACAAUGCUACAGCAGAGCACCUCUUUGAAGGCCAUCGUUUGCUGUCUGAUCAUCAUCGCUGGCUUCUUUAUGGGAGUGGAUCAAGAAGGGGUGGCAGGCUCCCUGUCGGUAAUGGGUGUAUUCUUUGGGGUCAUGGCCAGUGCCUGUGUGGCCUUGAACUCUAUUUUCACCAAGAAAGUCCUCGCCGUCGUUGACAACAACAUCUGGCGACUGACCUUCUACAAUAAUGUCAAUGCCUGCUUCCUGUUUCUCCCCCUCAUGUUGGUGUUUGGAGAAUUCGGAGAAGUCUGGAGCUUCCCAAAGCUUGGGAACACAACAUUCUGGACCUUUAUGACAAUCGGAGGGGUAUUUGGAUUUGCGAUUGGUUACAUAACAGGAUUACAGAUCCAGGUGACCUCUCCCCUCACUCACAACAUAUCUGGAACGGCCAAAGCGUGCGCCCAGACAGUGCUUGCCUGUGUGUAUUACCAGGACCACAAGUCAGCGCUGUGGUGGACCAGUAAUUUUGUAGUGCUGUUCGGAUCAGGGGCGUAUACUGAAGUUCGUAGACAGGAAAUGAAAACCCAACAUAAAAUUGACAUGGCAAUAAUUACUCAGAAAAUGGAGCAAGGGGAAGACAACUCCGAUGGAGAGUUAAUAUCAAAGUGAUGACAUAUCUGAAUUUAGGGUGCAUAUUAAAUUUGUUUUAUAUGAAUACAUAUUAUUAUUUAUUUAUCCAUUUAUAGUCCAUGUGGAUCAAAUACUUAACUUUUAACCAUGAUUUUGAUGAAUUAUGCUAUAUUUUGUUUCCGAGACAUUUGUUUUCAAACUGCCUGAAAUGUGAAAUCCAUUUUAGUAACUCAUACUGUUAAUGAAUGUUUUGCAGUGGGUUUGCUUGCAUAUUAUUUUAGAAAUGAUGUUACUAUGAUUAAGAUCUUUAAAAAAUGAACAGGUUUUCC
rnacentral:misc_RNA from 1 species